rnacentral:rRNA from 1 species
AGCGAACGCUGGCGGCAGGCCUAACACAUGCAAGUCGAACGAACCUUUCGGGGUUAGUGGCGGACGGGUGAGUAACACGUGGGAACGUGCCUUUAGGUUCGGAAUAACUCAGGGAAACUUGUGCUAAUACCGAAUGUGCCCUUCGGGGGAAAGAUUUAUCGCCUUUAGAGCGGCCCGCGUCUGAUUAGCUAGUUGGUUGAGGUAAUGGCUCACCAAGGCGACGAUCAGUAGCUGGUCUGAGAGGUUGAUCAGCCACAUUGGGACUGAGACACGGCCCAAACUCCUACGGGAGGCAGCAGUGGGGAAUCUUGCGCAAUGGGCGAAAGCCUGACGCAGCCAUGCCGCGUGAAUGAUGAAGGUCUUAGGAUUGUAAAAUUCUUUCACCGGGGACGAUAAUGACGGUACCCGGAGAAGAAGCCCCGGCUAACUUCGUG